CUGGAUAGAGCCCUCACCAUCUUCUCCAGCGCAGCAGCAAAUACGUCUCAGCCAAUCAGCAGCGACGCCCUGUCCAAUGCACUGGAUGUAGUGUGGGAGCUGAGACUGGAGAGCGUCAGUGAUGACCAAUGGAGAAACGCUUCCGUCAUCAGCACACUGUUCAGUCAAAACCUCAAGCCGUUUUUAGCGUCUGCGUCACCAUCCCUACUGCAGUGCGCUAGCAGCAAAAACCUCACCUGCCAAACUUACCAGCUCAUACUCACAGAGUUCCCGCC